UACAGAGGGUGCGAGCGUUAAUCGGAAUUACUGGGCGUAAAGCGUGCGCAGGCGGUUCGCCAAGUCAGGUGUGAAAUCCCCGGGCUUAACCUGGGAAUUGCGCUUGAAACUAGCGGGCUUGAGUGUGGCAGAGGGGGGUGGAAUUCCACGUGUAGCAGUGAAAUGCGUAGAGAUGUGGAGGAACACCGAUGGCGAAGGCAGCCCCCUGGGUCAACACUGACGCUCAUGCACGAAAGCGUGGGGAGCAAACAGG
rnacentral:rRNA from 1 species